rnacentral:lncRNA from 1 species
UCAAUAGUUGUAAUAUAUCAUAAGUAUAAGUAUGUUAUACAAGCUAAAGAAACCAAGUCUAAACUAUUUUAAACAUUAGACUUGUUGAAAACCACAUUUUAAGCUCAAAAGUGGACUGUUUUGGAUAAUUUUUAGUACCUGAAAUUGUAAGAUGGUAAUGAACUCAUAUAAAGUUGAUAAUGCAUGCUGUUAACGAUUCCUAAUCAUUGCCACGACCAAAGCUAACAGGAAAACCAAGUUACGGUGUAUUUUUCAAACCUAAAGUGAGUAUUGAUAGGACAAAAUUGGCUAGAUGACUAAGUAGAGUGAGAUGAUGAUAAAAGUAACCUUAGGCAACUAAAUUACAUAUGCCUAGACUAUCCUAGUAGCCAAAAUUGAGGAAAAAUGGAAAAGUGUCAAUCAGUUUUUGAAAAAAAAGUUAGAAAACAGGCCAAUUUGAGACACUAUCUUGAGAAGCUUAAAUGAAAUGAAUAAGAAACCUAAACUUUGAUUACAAUACCUUGAUGUAUAUUAUAGAAAAAG